rnacentral:rRNA from 1 species
UACGUAGGGGGCAAGCGUUGUCCGGAAUCACUGGGCGUAAAGCGCACGUAGGCGGAUUGCUAAGUCAGGGGUGAAAUCCUGGAGCUCAACUCCAGAACUGCCUUUGAUACUGGCGACCUUGAGUCCGGGAGAGGUGAGUGGAACUGCGAGUGUAGAGGUGAAAUUCGUAGAUAUUCGCAAGAACACCAGUGGCGAAGGCGGCUCACUGGCCCGGUACUGACGCUGAGGAGCGAAAGCGUGGGUAGCAAACAGG